CCCGGCGACCGGCGCACGGGUGAGUAACACGUAUGCAACCUGGCCGCCACAGGGGGAUAACCCGCGGAAACGCGGCCUAAUACCCCGUGACGCCACCGGAGGGCAUCCUCCGGUGGCCAAAGGAGCGNUCCGGUGGCGGAUGGGCAUGCGGCGCAUUAGCUAGACGGCGGGGUGACGGCCCACCGUGGCGACGAUGCGUAGGGGUUCUGAGAGGAAGGCCCCCCACACUGGGACUGAGACACGGCCCAGACUCCUACGGGAGGCAGCAG
rnacentral:rRNA from 1 species